rnacentral:tRNA from 1 species
GCGACGAUGGUGGAACUGGUAGACACGCCAGCUUGAGGUGCUGGUGCCGCAAGGCAUGGAAGUUCAAGUCUUCUUCGUCGCA